UCAGGUUUUCUCAAACAAUGAUGAAGCCCUCAUUAACAAAAAGUUACCUAAAGAACUUCUGUUAAGGGACCUUCAACUGAGCUCAAUGGAUCAUUCCUGCCGACCUCUUACUUUGUGUGCCAGUUGAUGCCUUGAACAGAACAGGUCUGGUCUCUUUUCACCAAUCUAGAAUAUUUUCCUUCUUGGAUAUUGUUACUUUGUGCCGAUGUGCACAAGUUUCCAAG